AGCUGCUCCAGUAGCCCACUCGUUAGGUAUGUUGCCUUCCCCUGUGAGAACGUGGGUUCGCUCCGCUGGCCGGCAAUUGCAUAGGAAAAGUUGCAGAUCGGGCUGUUGGGUUACCCGGAGGGGGGGGGCGCAUUUUUUUUAUAAAAUUUUUAUAU
rnacentral:sRNA from 21 species